GAUGAACGCUGGCGGCGUGCCUAAUACAUGCAAGUCGAGCGAACGGACGAGAAGCUUGCUUCUCUGAUGUUAGCGGCGGACGGGUGAGUAACACGUGGAUAACCUGCCUAGAAGACUGGGAUAACUUCGGGAAACCGUAGCUAAUACCGGAUAAUAUUUUGAACCGCAUGGUUCAAAAGUGAAAGACGGUCUUGCUGUCACUUAUAGAUGGAUCCGCGCUGCAUUAUCUAGUUGGUAAGGUAACGGCUUACCAAGGCAACGAUGCAUAGCCGACCUGAGAGGGUGAUCGGCCACACUGGAACUGAGACACGGUCCAGACUCCUACGGGAGGCAGCAGUAGGGAAUCUUCCGCAAUGGGCGAAAGCCUGACGGAGCAACGCCGCGUGAGUGAUGAAGGUCUUCGGAUCGUAAAACUCUGUUAUUAGGGAAGAACAUAUGUGUAAGUAACUGUGCACAUCUUGACGGUACCUAAUCAGAAAGCCACGGCUAACUACGUG
rnacentral:rRNA from 1 species